rnacentral:snoRNA from 13 species
AAGACUAUACUUCACAGGAUCAUUUCUGUAGUCAGUCUUCACUUACUUUCACACUAUCUGAAAGCACUUCACACCCGCGUUGAUGAGGUGAAUCGUUUUAUUCGGCAGCGUGAGGUUUUGCGUGAUGCCCUUUGCGGUAUGACUUCGGUUAUCCGUGUUGUGGGCGUGGCGCUUCGAUGAUCGCUCGGUAACACGAAUAGAACGAAUUCUGAGUGGU